rnacentral:rRNA from 1 species
AUGAGUCGACCUGAUGGGAUCAACAUCCCCGGCGGCAAGUUCUACCUUGGAGAUGCUGGCUAUGCAUGUCGGCCGGGUAUUCUUCCACCCUUCAGGAAAACAAGGUACCAUCUCAACGAGUUCUCUGGUAGGAACUUUCCUAGGACUGCACAGGAGCUAAAUCUCAGACACUUCAGCCUUAGAGUAACUGUUGAGAGGGCAUUUGGAGCUCUGAAGAAUAGGUUUAAGAUCCUGGAUCAGAAGCCAUUCCACCCAUACUCCACUCAAGUUAAGCUAGUUCUUGCUUGUUGCAUUCUACAUAACUGGAUCCUCCAGUGGGGCUUUGAUGAACACGUGCCUGAGGAGGAAGAGGUCGAGCCUGACAAUGUUUUCAGCUCUAGUCAUGGUGUGGAGGCAUUUGACAAUGACGCUUGGAAGAACAAAAGGUUGGAGUGGGCAGAGACAAUGUGGCUUAACAGAGGUCAGUGCAGGAUUUGA